ACUUCGGUUUGAAGUUCUUUAUGACUGAGUGGCGGACGGGUGAGUAACGCGUGGGUAACCUGCCUUGUACUGGGGGAUAGCAGCUGGAAACGGCUGGUAAUACCGCAUAAGCGCACAAUGUUGCAUGACAUGGUGUGAAAAACUCCGGUGGUAUAAGAUGGACCCGCGUCUGAUUAGCCAGUUGGUGAGAUAACAGCCCACCAAGGCGACGAUCAGUAGCCGACCUGAGAGGGUGACCGGCCACAUUGGGACUGAGACACGGCCCAGACUCCUACGGGAGGCAGCAGUGGGGAAUAUUGCACAAUGGAGGAAACUCUGAUGCAGCGACGCCGCGUGAGUGAAGAAGUAAUUCGUUAUGUAAAGCUCUAUCAGCAGGGAAGAUAGUGACGGUACCUGACUAAGAAGCUCCGGCUAAAUACGUGCCAGCAGCCGCGGUAAUACGUAUGGAGCAAGCGUUAUCCGGAUUUACUGGGUGUAAAGGGAGUGUAGGUGGCCAUGCAAGUCAGAAGUGAAAAUCCGGGGCUCAACCCCGGAACUGCUUUUGAAACUGUAAGGCUGGAGUGCAGGAGGGGUGAGUGGAAUUCCUAGUGUAGCGGUGAAAUGCGUAGAUAUUAGGAGGAACACCAGUGGCGAAGGCGGCUCACUGGACUGUAACU
rnacentral:rRNA from 1 species